rnacentral:rRNA from 1 species
GACAGAGGUCCCGAGCGUUAGGCGGAAUCACUGGGCUUAAAGCGUGUGUAGGCGGAUGCCUAAGUACCUUGUGAAAUCCCACGGCUCACCCGUGGAACUGCUUGGUAUACUGGGUGUCUUGAGCCACUUAGGGGCUACCGGAACAAAUGGUGGAGCGGUGAAAUGCGUAGAUAUCAUUUGGAACGCCAAUGGUGAAAACAGGUAGCUGGGAGUGUGCUGACGCUGAGACACGAAAGCCAGGGGGAGCAAAACGGGG